rnacentral:rRNA from 1 species
GACGAACGCUGGCGGCGUGCUUAACACAUGCAAGUCGAACGAAGAGCGACGGAAGCUUGCUUCUAUCAAUCUUAGUGGCGAACGGGUGAGUAACGCGUAACCAACCUGCCCUUCAGAGGGGGACAACAGUUGGAAACGACUGCUAAUACCGCAUACGAUCUAAUCUCGGCAUCGAGGAUGGAUGAAAGGUGGCCUCUACAUGUAAGCUAUCACUGAAGGAGGGGAUUGCGUCUGUUUAGCUAGUUGGAGGGGUAACGGCCCACCAAGGCGAUGAUCAGUAGCCGGUCUGAGAGGAUGGACGGCCACAUUGGGACUGAGACGCGGCCCAGACUGCUACGGGAGGCAGCAGUGGGGAAACUUGCGCAAUGGGCGAAAGUCUGACGGAGCAACGCCGCGUGAGUGAUGACGGCCUUCGGGUUGUAAAGCUCUGUUAAUCGGGACGAAAGGCCUUCUUGCGAAUAGUGAGAAGGAUUGACGGUACCGGAAUAGAAAGCCACGGCUAACUACGUG